rnacentral:rRNA from 1 species
UACGUAGGGGGCAAGCGUUGUCCGGAAUCAUUGGGCGUAAAGCGCGCGUAGGCGGCCCGGUAAGUCCGUUGUGAAAGUCAAAGGCUCAACCUUUGAAAGCCGAUGGAUACUGCCGGGCUAGAGUCCGGAAGAGGCGAGUGGAAUUCCUGGUGUAGCGGUGGAAUGCGCAGAUAUCAGGAAGAACACCGGUGGCGAAGGCGGCUCUCUGGGCCUUACCUGACGCUGAGGAGCGAAAGCGUAGGUAGCGAACAGG